rnacentral:rRNA from 1 species
GAUGAACGCUGGCGGCGUGCCUAAUACAUGCAAGUCGAGCGAACAGACGAGGAGCUUGCUCCUCUGACGUUAGCGGCGGACGGGUGAGUAACACGUGGAUAACCUACCUAUAAGACUGGGAUAACUUCGGGAAACCGGAGCUAAUACCGGAUAAUAUAUUGAACCGCAUGGUUCAAUAGUGAAAGACGGUUUUGCUGUCACUUAUAGAUGGAUCCGCGCCGCAUUAGCUAGUUGGUAAGGUAACGGCUUACCAAGGCGACGAUGCGUAGCCGACCUGAGAGGGUGAUCGGCCACACUGGAACUGAGACACGGUCCAGACUCCGACGGGAGGCAGCAGUAGGGAAUCUUCCGCAAUGGGCGAAAGCCUGACGGAGCAACGCCGCGUGAGUGAUGAAGGUCUUCGGAUCGUAAAACUCUGUUAUUAGGGAAGAACAAAUGUGUAAGUAACGAUGCACGUCUGGACGGUACCUAAUCAGAAAGCCACGGCUAACUACGU